UUUUAGUAGGCUGUUCAAUAUGAAUUAAUAUGGUAGCCAACAAAAUGAAUAUGGUGUUAGGCUAUAAUAGGAAUAUGUAAAUUAUAUUGACAACUAUCCUGAUAUGUGUGGAGAAUAGAGAAAUUAUAAGAAAAUGCUGCAAGACAAGAAGCUGGAGAUUGAUCAUUUGUCAGUCAAAUGAAGAUUCCAUUUGGAAUGUGACUGGGAAACAGUUGGAGGCAAGAGCCAACUGUUUGAGUGCAUUCAAGGCUUUUGGUUGGCUGGCUGAGGUGAAGGAAGAAGCUAGUUUUAUCUCUGGGGCUUGAGAUAAUCAAGUUGGAGGUGGCCUGGCUGAUUUGAAGGCUGAAGAAGGACAAUUGUUCUUAUAUCUCUCUGACAGGUUCUGUUUCAUGUUAGUGACUGAAUUGCCAUUUCUCUCAAUAUCUGCCAAACUAACACUCACUGUAGAGAAUAGGGAUAUCCUACCCCUCUAACCUUAUCCUCCACCAUUGUCCUUGUCUUCCCCAAAUAAACCCCUUGUUUGACAAAGAAGAUUAAGAACUGUUUCAUUGAAACCUCACAGCUCACACUGAGUGACCUGAAGGAGACUGAAGAAGGGGGGAGGGGAGGCUGAAAGGCUUCUGAAGAGGGAGGAAAACAGGAGGAGGUUAGGCAAAAAGAAGAUAACUAUCUGAUCCAUUAGUUAUCUAGUAUCCAAUCAAUAUACACCCUCAGAAAUAUCAUCUAUUACAGAUUCUAGGAGAAAGAAAGAAAGGAAGGAAGGAAGAAAGAAGGAAAGAAGGAAAGAAGAAAAGAAAGAAAGAAAGAAAGAAAGAAAGAAAGAAAGAAAGAAAGAAAGAAGAAAGAAGGAAGGAAGGAAAGAAGGAAAGAAAGAAAGAAAGAAGAAAGAAAGAAAGAAAGAAAAGGAAGAAGGGAGGAAGGAAGGAAGGAAGGAAGGAAGGAAGGAAGGAAGGAAGGAAGGAAGGAAGGAAGUAAGGAAGGAAGGAAGGAAGGAAGGAAGGAAGAUCUAAGUUCAAAUCUCAGUUUUACUACUUGUUACUUGUGUGACUAUGGGUUCAGGAAUCUGAAGCUGUUCAGUGAUUCACCGAGGGUCACACGUUUCUGUUGUGGCUAUAUGAUUUCUGGAUUACCUUCAUGCUACAAGUAAGAAAACAGAUGAUCGUGAUGACCACUUGCUACAGACUUGUGACUAUCAAAUGGCAAGGUUAGGACACAAACCCAGCAAAAAACCAGUCUCUUUCCAGGAUACCAGCAACUUCUCAUGCCCCUCCACCACGUCUAUUAGUAUUUUCAUAAACUGAAACUGAACUGGAGUGACUCAAAUGACCUCUUGUCUCCAUAUAUUUAUAAAGCACCUGCUGUUUGUAUAGCAUUCUAAGAGGCUUUGAAUAGGGCUUUGUUUAUCAAAUGACCACAACUUAAAAUAUAGUAAUGGCAGGCUCUUGAGUAGGAAUGGAGUUCAUCCAACAAAGAAUGGUAAAAAUGUAACUGGAGUGAAAAGUGAUUUAAGGUCAAAAUGAAACGGGUAGACCUACAGCUGUCUAUAUGCAUCUACCAAGUUGGAUGUCCUCAUAACAAUGAUGGUGACAAGGAGUGAAUCGGUGAUUUCACCAGCACAUUUUAUGCAAUUUAUGGUCUUAAAGAGUUGCCUAGGACACUAAAGUGUCCAAUGUUACAAGGCCAAUAUAUAUCAGAGCCAGGUUCAAUACUCCAACCACUGUACCACCUAGCCAGUGUUGUACAUUUUUAUCAGUGACUUUGAUCAGAGAAUAGAUGACAUUGUAAGAGGGAAAAUGGGUUUAAUUUUUAAAGGGUUGGGCUUGAAUAUUUAAGAGGGGUCACCAGGAAUUUAAUUGAUUCCAAAGAGAUUUAUUUACAAAAUAUAGAAAAAAUGAAGAGGAAAAUCAGAGAGAGGAUAGGGUAAGAUAUCUAGCUGAGGCACUAAGUCAUUUACUCCUGGCCCCUCCAGGCAGGGAGAAUUAGUUUCAGCCACCCUCAGCAAAGCUGAGGACCUAGGAAGUUUCUCUCAAGAGGACAGGUCUUUCCUGAGGCUGUUUUCUUCAGAGAAAAGCCAGCAGUUGAGUUAGCUUUUUUCACUCACCAUGUGUCAGUCCAGCCAGCAGAUCCUUUUGCCUCUCUUUACCAGC
rnacentral:lncRNA from 1 species